rnacentral:rRNA from 1 species
GGCCUACCAUGGUUUCAACGGGUAACGGGGAAUAAGGGUUCGAUUCCGGAGAGGGAGCCUGAGAAACGGCUACCACAUCCAAGGAAGGCAGCAGGCGCGCAAAUUACCCAAUCCCGACACGGGGAGGUAGUGACAAUAAAUAACAAUAUAGGGCUCUUUUGGGUCUUAUAAUUGGAAUGAGUACAAUUUAAAUCCCUUAACGAGGAACAAUUGGAGGGCAAGUCUGGUGCCAGCAGCCGCGGUAAUUCCAGCUCCAAUAGCGUAUAUUAAAGUUGUUGCAGUUAAAAAGCUCGUAGUUGAACUUCAGGCCUGGGCGGGCGGUCUGCCUCACGGUAUGUACUGUCUGCCUGGGUCUUACUUCUUGGUGAGCCGGCAUGCCCUUUACUGGGUGUGUCGGGGAACCAGGACUUUUACUUUGAAAAAAUUAGAGUGUUUAAAGCAGGCUUACGCUUGAAUACAUUAGCAUGGAAUAAUAAAAUAGGACUUUGGUUUUAUUUUGUUGGUUUUCGAGACCGAAGUAAUGAUUAAUAGGGACAGUUGGGGGCAUUAGUAUUUGAUCGUCAGAGGUGAAAUUCUUGGAUUGAUCAAAGACUAACUUCUGCGAAAGCAUUUGCCAAGGAUGUUUUCAUUAAUCAAGAACGAAAGUUAGGGGAUCGAAGACGAUCAGAUACCGUCGUAGUCUUAACCAUAAACUAUGCCGACUAGGGAUCGGAUGAUGUUGAUUUUUUAAUGACUCAUUCGGCACCUUACG